CUGCUGUUUUCUCCUUGUGUCCUCACAUGGUGGAGAGCAAAGGGAGAGAGAAGGCCCUACUCCCAUUUAUGAGAACUCCAUCUCCUAAAGGCCCCACCUCCUAAUAUCAUCACAUUGAAAUUUAGCGGAGAUAUAAAGAGGAGGAAAACCUUUCAAAAUACACAGCUUAAAGAAGAUGACCAGGCAGAAAUGUCAGCAAUGCCAAGACUGGUGUCACACUAUGGAAGGGUGUACAGAGAAAAGAAUGUUCAGUUUCAGAAAAAUACAUUCAUGGGAGGAGAUAGAACUUAGGGUGACAGAGGCAAUAUUAUGUGACCCAGCGAGGAAGGCAGACACUUGUUGGAAUGCUGACCUGAACUCGAGGUCUGAAAGGGUUUCUGGGGAAGUGGCAUGCUAUUUUCUACUGAAGUCAUAUUUUCAGCAUGAAGCCAUCUUCACCUUCUCCAGUCUGCGAGAGUUCUCCCUACUCUAUGCUCACCAAACAUAGACCAAGGUCUUGAGAAGCUUUUAUGCCCUAACCACUAUGUAUAUAUUGUCUACCCUAAGAAAAGGGCUAUGGAAGAGACUUCAAGAUGCUCAGCCAAUAUCCAGUUGCUUGCCUAGCUAAAAGCUAGCUUUUCCAACUUCCCUUGCAUCUAGGAAAUUUACAUGGAGAAGGUAGGUGAGCAAAACCAUAAGGAAUCUGGAUUUAAAACAUGGCGGAGAUGCCAUAUCAGCCCUGGAGAGGUUAUGCUUAGACAAUCCCAGAGGGAAGACAGGGAAUAAAAGAAUCUUUUACCUCAUUUAAGUCAAGGUUAUUUUGUCCUUUGUUACAGCAGUCCAACUGGCAUCCUAGGUGGCAUUUUUGGAAGGUACAGAGCAGAAUUAAACAUGGUUUCAACUCUAGUAUGUUCUGGAAUGGGAUAUAUGAUAUAUAUUACAUACAUAAUUUUAAAAUAUAUAUAACAGAUAAUUAUGUUGCCUUUCUAUCAAGCAAAUUUGAACAUAUAUGUAUAACAUACUGCAAAUGUGUAUAUGAGAUCACUGAUUACCCACAAAGAGCUUUAAAACCUAUGAUCAUUAUAAAUUAUAUGGCCACACACACACUUGAAGUAUAUAUGUUAGAAAUAUUGUUCAUUAUUGUUUCAUAUUUAUGUAAAUAUGAUGAUUUUGCUCAUUGAUAGAAACUUUUGGUCAACCCUUCCUAUGUCUGUCUUCUCAACAUUUCUGUUUUCACAGUAGAUGAGACAUGGCUAGCCUUGUAAGUGGACUUCUUAACGCAUAAAUGCAUUUGCUAAUGAGUUCCCGGAACAUGCUAAUGACAUUUUGUUCUGGAUCAUUUCCAAAAUGGUCUCGAGCAAACAAGCUCAUUUAAGAGGAGAAGGAGGAGGAGAGAGAGAGAGAGAAUGUUAGUUUAAUGGCAGGCAUUUAUUCAAUGGCUGUUAACUAAAAACGUUUGCACAUAAAUGUGAUUACUUGGGAAAUAGCAUCAGAGUCUGGUUGACUGACAUUGGAAAUUGAAAAUGGACUCCCUUGAAGUUCAAAGCUUUACCACAAAUCACAAGAAUCAUUAAUUACUCUACAUAGGAUUUUGGGAGUUGCUUGUUUCUAAAAUCUGCUGCCUUUAUGUUCUUGAAGCCUAAACAAGAGAAUCAGAGUCCCAGCAAGGAACUAAAAAAGUGAAUUUUGUUAAUUAAACCAAAAUGUAAACUGAAAGUCUGAAAGAAUGCCAAGAGUCCACCAUUUGUUGAUGAGGUAUGAUUUCUCUAUCUCAGCAGCCUACGAAGAUCAUGUAACUGUGAUGUGUUUGAUCCAAGUGGAUUAAAAUACUAGUCUGGCAUUUGAAAUAACUUUUGAAAAACACAGAGCUAUUAUAUUAUAGUUUUGCCAUCAUUUUCAAGAGAUGGAAUUGAUAUGUAUCAUAGAGUUUAUUUAUUUUAUUUUUAAAUUAUUAGAUCAUAUUUAAUAUAAGUCAAAUGAAUCAAAAUAGCAUAAUAAUUUGAAGAAUACAUCAACAAGCUCUUCUUUGGUGGUCAGAAUUUUAUAUCUCUCCUUUUCUCUCUGAACUUACAUUUUUACUUCCCAGUCCUCCCCCAAAUUUAAUCUUUUUCUUUUUUUCUUUGUAAAUUGACAAAUAAAAUUAUUGCAUGUAUUGUGUACAACUUUUUGAAGUACAUGUGCAUUGUGUA